rnacentral:misc_RNA from 1 species
GAUGAAGAACGUAGCGAAAUGCGAUAAGUAAUGUGAAUUGCAGAAUUCAGUGAAUCAUCGAGUUUUUGAACGCUUAUUGCGCCCUCUGGUAUUCCGGGGGGCAUGCCUGUUCGAGCGUCAUUAAAUAACCCUCAAGCAUAGCUUGGUGUUGGGCUUUUUUACGUCCUUGACUGGGGUGGGCCUAAAAAUUAGUGGCGAUGGCUUUUUUACUUUCAAGCGUAGUAAAUCUCGUCUUGCUAAAGAGGAAAAAGAUUUUUUUUCUGCCAAAAAUUUUAACAUUUAAAGUUGACCUCGGAUCAGGUAGGAUUACCCGCUGAACUUAAGCAUAUCAAUAAGCGGAGGA